GGCUCGCCAGGACCCCGCGGACCCGCGCUGCGGUGGGAGCUCGGGAGGCGGAGGCGGAGGCGGGAGGCGGCGGCGGCGCGCGGAGACGC
rnacentral:miRNA from 1 species